rnacentral:rRNA from 1 species
ACGGGAGGCAGCAGUGGGGGAUAUUGCGCAAUGGGGGAAACCCUGACGCAGCAACGCCGCGUGAAGGAUGAAGGUCUUCGGAUUGUAAACUUCUUUUGUCAGGGACGAAGAAAGUGACGGUACCUGACGAAUAAGCUCCGGCUAACUACGUGCCAGCAGCCGCGGUAAUACGUAGGGAGCGAGCGUUGUCCGGAUUUACUGGGUGUAAAGGGUGCGUAGGCGGCCGAGCAAGUCAGUUGUGAAAACUAUGGGCUUAACCCAUAGACUGCAAUUGAAACUGUCCGGCUUGAGUGAAGUAGAGGCAGGCGGAAUUCCCGGUGUAGCGGUGAAAUGCGUAGAGAUCGGGAGGAACACCAGUGGCGAAGGCGGCCUGCUGGGCUUUAACUGACGCUGAGGCACGAAAGCAUGGGUAGCAAACAGGAUUAGAUACCCUGGUA